GCACCCGUAGCUCAGCUGGAUAGAGUACCUGGCUACGAACCAGGUGGUCGGGAGUUCGAAUCUCUCCGGGUGCGCCA
rnacentral:tRNA from 2 species